rnacentral:rRNA from 1 species
CAGCCGCCGCGGUAAUACGUAGGGUGCGAGCGUUAAUCGGAAUUACUGGGCGUAAAGCGUGCGCAGGCGGUUUUGUAAGACAGGCGUGAAAUCCCCGGGCUCAACCUGGGAAUGGCGCUUGUGACUGCAAAGCUAGAGUGCGGCAGAGGGGGAUGGAAUUCCGCGUGUAGCAGUGAAAUGCGUAGAUAUGCGGAGGAACACCGAUGGCGAAGGCAAUCCCCUGGGCCUGCACUGACGCUCAUGCACGAAAGCGUGGGGAGCAAACAGGAUUAGAUACCCGGGUAGUCCCUGUCUCUUAUAC